AAAAGGUCUUUCACUUCUGUUUUCUUGCCUCUUGAGUGUCUUGUUGCAGGACUAGGAAAGCAUCACCAUAAUAAUGCCUUGCUAUAGGGAAACUCUUCUCUAGUGAUUUAAGUUGUUCCUGGGCAUUUGUGGAAUCUAGAUAUCCUUACAUAAAUCAGGAUGUGAUCUUUGAGUAAAAUAAAUAAAUCUAUGGGGGAAAGGGGAGGUGGGGAAGUGGAAGGAAGUAGUGACUAAUAUGUUUAUAUUUUGGGGAUCAUUAUAAUAAGUGUAAUGUAAUUAUUCCAGUUUUACAGAUGGAGGAACUGAGGCUAAGAAAACUACAUGUCUUGUGAGGUGACAUAAGUGUUUAGUGACAGAAUUGCUCUUUCCUGCUCCUAUCUAAAGAGUUCCUCAAUGUGCAUCUCCCUGCGUUCUGAAUUAACUCCAGUUUCGCGGAACGGACGAACAAGUGUCUGCCUUGAGUCCGCUGCGGAGCUGGUGUGCUGGCUUCUCGACACCUCUUGCAUGAAUCACUGCCUCUGCCCUUUUUUUUCCAUUUGCCAUUUCUGGUCGUUUUUCCCUGUUCUGUCGAAUCCCAAGUGCCCCUGAAUGCAGCCCAUUGGUUUUGGGAUGUGGAGAGCCAUAUGUGCAGCCCCACUUCUCUAAGGUAAGUUGCUGUACCAAGGUUAAAGCGUACAGCACCCAUGUGGCAAAGAGCUUCUGUAGCCACAGCUUUAGGUGGCACUUGAGUACAUUAGGAAGCAGGAAGGCCUGUGAGCUACAAAGGGCUCUGUCUGCGAGGAUGAUGCCGUGAUGUCUGGCAGCGUUCACCAGCCAUGCAGUGAGGUCACUUCUAAAAGUAUCGCGUUGCAGCGCCGAGCUUCCUGGCGUGAUGGCAGGCAGCUCUCGUGAACCUCGGCCGCUCCUCAGCAGCCAUGGUUAUUCUUAGAGACACUUCCCAUUCCUCAGGAAAAGCUACUGUGAGAGGCUUAGCUGGCUUUUAUCUUUAGAAGCGAGUAUUUAAAUGUUGGACUAAUUUGUAGCUCAUUCGCAGCUCAGCUGCAGCCCUGCCAGCUGCGCUGGGAUCAGUGACAAGUCUUUCUUCCGCCUCCAAAGCGCACUUGCAGACAGAUCCAGGGCCUAGGAGCACAUUGCCCCAGAGGCAACUCGGCUUUCUCACAAGCGUGUAGCUGCCUGGGGGAGUUUUCCAGAACAAGUAGCAUAUUAGGCUUUCCCUAGCAAAGAGAGACCUUACAUGCGCACAGAAACCUCGCUGGCUUCACGAGCGUUGGGCUGGCAUUGCUGGGCUCUGCUCUGCUUUGGAUGGAGGUGGAGAAGGGCCAGUGGCUGCUACGUUAAAUAUUGCUCCGGAGUAGCAACCAGACUGUGCAGUACAGAGAGAGGCAUCAGUGCCCACCCAAGUGGCAGAAGGGGGUGAGAGGAAAAGCCUCCAUCCCCUCCGGGGAUGUUGGUUCAGAGUGGUAGGAGCAAGCUACAUUUAACCAAAGCAUCCUCCCUCUUGGCUGGGUGGCCACCCGUGACCCAGAGACAGCAUUCCUGCAGGAAGCUAGCAGGACAUCUGAAUUAGAGACAGGCUGUGUUGGACCACAAGGAAUAAAAGUUCCUUUUUGGGUGGAGAUCGGAAAAUU
rnacentral:lncRNA from 1 species